rnacentral:rRNA from 1 species
GACGAACGCUGGCGGCGUGCUUAACACAUGCAAGUCGAACGGAAAGGCCCUGCUUUUGUGGGGUGCUCGAGUGGCGAACGGGUGAGUAACACGUGAGUAACCUGCCCUUGACUUUGGGAUAACUUCAGGAAACUGGGGCUAAUACCGGAUAGGAGCUCCUGCUGCAUGGUGGGGGUUGGAAAGUUUCGGCGGUUGGGGAUGGACUCGCGGCUUAUCAGCUUGUUGGUGGGGUAGUGGCUUACCAAGGCUUUGACGGGUAGCCGGCCUGGGAGGGUGACCGGGGACAUUGGUACUGCGAUACGCAGCAGUCUGCUACGGGAGGCAGCAGUGGGGAAUAUUGCACAACGGGGGGAAGUGUGAGACGGAAACGCCGCGAGCGUAAUGACGGCUUACGGGGUAUAAACAGCUUUCGACUGUGACGAAGAGGGAGUGACGGUAAUUGGUAAAGAAGCACCGGCUAACUACGUG